GACGAACGCUGGCGGCAAGCUUAACACAUGCAAGUCGAACGCCGUAGCAAUACGCAGUGGCAGACGGGUGAGUAACACGUGGGAACGUGCCUUUCGGUUCGGAACAGCUGAGGGCAACUUCAGCUAAAACUGGAUUCGCCCUUCGGGGGAAAGUUUACGCCGAAGGAUCGGCCUGCGUCAGAUUAGGUAGUUGUCGGGGUAAUGGCCCACCAAGCCGAUGAUCUGUGGCUGUGCUGAGAGGAAGAUCAGCCACACUGGGACUGAGACACGGCCCAGACUCCUACGGGAGGCAGCAGUGGCGAAUAUUGGACAAUGGGCGCAAGCCUGAUCCAGCUAUGCCGCGUGGAUGAAGAAGGCCUUCGGGUUGUAAAGUCCUUUCGGCGGGGAAGAUAAUGACGGUACCCGCAGAAGAAGCCCCGGCUAAUUUCGUGCCAGCCGCCGCGGUAACAC
rnacentral:rRNA from 1 species